AGAGUUUGAUCCUGGCUCAGGACGAACGCUGGCGGCGUGCCUAACACAUGCAAGUCGAACGGAGCGCUAUUGAAGAACUUUUCGGAGGGAAUCGAGAGCAGCUUAGUGGCGGACGGGUGAGUAACGCGUGAGGAACCUGCCUUUCAGAGGGGGACAACAGCUGGAAACGGCUGCUAAUACCGCAUAAUGCAGCGGGAUCGCAUGAUCCUGCUGCCAAAGAUUAUCGCUGAAAGAU
rnacentral:rRNA from 1 species